rnacentral:misc_RNA from 1 species
GCAAACUUGGUCAUUUAGAGGAAGUAAAAGUCGUAACAAGGUCUCCGUAGGUGAGUAAUGACGACAUCAACUUCCACUGAAUUUGAAUCAAAUGCUAACGAAUUUUUAGGUGAACCUGCGGAGGGAUCAUUACCGAGCGAGGGCCUCUGGCCCGACCUCCAACCCUUUGUUAUCAAAACCACUGUUGCCUCGGGGGCGACCCGCGCCCGUCGGCGUCGGGGCCCCCGACGGACCACUUCGAAACUCUGCAUCUGGACGUCGGAUUCAAAAGUUUAAUGAAUUAAAACUUUCAACAACGGAUCUCUUGGUUCUGGCAUCGAUGAAGAACGCAGC